UGGGUCAUUAUUACUGUUCCAUACUGACCUGUAUUGAUCCAUUAACCUGUGUCCGUAUUGUGUCCAUAUGGUACCAUACUGCGUCGUCCAUACUGACCUGUAUUGAUCCAUACUGGUCCGUAUUGGUCCAUACUGGUCCAUACUGGUCUGUACUGACCUGUACUGGUCCAUACUGGUCCAUAUUGGUCCAUAAUGGUCCAUACUGUUCCAUACUGACCUGUACUCAUCCAUAGUGGUCCAUAUGGGUCUGUAGUGGUCCGUGCUGGUCAAUAAUGGCCCAUAUUGACUGGUACCCAACCAUACUGGUCCGUACUGGUCCAUACAGACCAAUACUGACCCAUACUGACCUAUACUUGUCCAUACUGGUCCAUACUGGUCCAUACUGGCCUGUACUGGUCCAUACCGGCCUGUACUGGUCCAUAUUGGCCCAUACUGGUCCAUACUGCUCCAUACUGGUCCAUAUUGGCCCAUACUGGUCCAUACUGGUCCAUACUGGCCCAUUCUGGUCCAUAUUGGCCCAUACUGGUCCAUACUGCUCCAUACUGCUCCAUACUGGUCCAUAUUGGCCCAUACUGGUCCAUACUGGCCUGUACUGGUCCAUAUUGGCCCAUACUGGUCCAUACUGGACCAUACUGCUCCAUACUGCUCCAUAUUUGUACAUAUAGGUCCAUGCUUGUACAUAGAGGCCCAUACUUGUACAUAUAGGCCCAUAUUUGUAUAUAUAGGCCCAUACUGGUCCAUACUGUUCCAUACUGUUCCAUACUGGCCCAUACUGGUCCAUACUGGUCCGUACUGGUCCGUACUGGUCCGUACUGGUUUGCAGACCUCCCCUCCGAGGUGACGAUCUCGGGUCCCCACACGGUGGCAGAGAACAGGACGGUGACGCUGUCGUGUUCCAGCGCCCCCAGUAACCCCCCAGUGCAGCUGCGAUGGUGGAUGGGGGGGCGGCAGCUGCAGCACGGGGACACCACUGUCACUGCGGUACGGGACCCAUAGAGACCCAUAGAGACCCAUAGAGACACAUAGGGACCCAUAGAGACACAUAGAGACACAUAGGGACCCAUAGAGACCCAUAGAGACCCAUAGGGACCCAUAGCGACCCAUAGAGACACAUAGGGACACAUAGAGACCCAUAGAGACCCAUAGAGACACAUAGCGACCCAUUGAGACACAUAGCGACCCAUAGAGACACAUAGAGACCCAUAGGGACACAUAGAGACCCAUAGGGACACAUAGAGACCCAUAGGGACCCAUAGAGACACAUAGGGACACAUAGAGACCCAUAGCGACCCAUAGAGACACAUAGGGACACAUAGAACAACAAUAGAGACCCCAUUAAGGCCUAGCCGACCCAUGAGAAGACCC
ensembl:lncRNA